rnacentral:rRNA from 1 species
GACGACGCUGGCGGCGUGGAUUAGGCAUGCAAGUCGAACGGUAUCAUCCUUUCGGGGGUGAGAGAGUGGCGAACUGGUGAGUAACACGUAGGUUAUCUACCCUCAAGACGGGGACAACCCAGGGAAACUUGGGCUAAUACCGGAUGUGAGCAACUUUUAGUUGUUUGAAAGGUGGCGUAAGCUGUCGCUUGGGGAUGAGCCUGCGUCCUAUUAGUUAGUUGGUGAGGUAACGGCUCACCUAGGCAAUGAUAGGUAGGCGGCCUUAACGGGUGGUCGCCCACACUGGGAUUGAGAUACGGCCCAGACUCCUACGGGAGGCAGCAGUCGAGAAUAGUCUACAAUGGUCGGAAGACUGAUAGUGCGACGCCGCGUGAACGAUGAAUCCCUUCGGGGUGUAGAGUUCUUUUAUAUGUGAGCAGUGCUUCUUAUAUUAACAGUAUGGGGAGAGAGAUAUUAGCAUAUGAAUAAGCAACGGCUAACUCCGUG